rnacentral:misc_RNA from 1 species
AAAACAGGAGUCGCUUAAAUUGUACUCAAUGUCUUCAGCACCCGUGGCUGCAAAAAGACACCAAAAACAUGGAAGCCAAAAAACUUUCCAAAGAUAGGAUGAAGAAAUAUAUGGCCAGAAGAAAAUGGCAGGUAACGAAGAGGAUGUACCAGUGGGCUUGUUAUCCUAAUAAGUCUCUGUAUUUCUAAUGUUUGUGAUUCCAAGACAUAAGUCGUGCCAGGCAGUUUCUGCAAGGGAAACUCCCAUGUGGGCCGUGUGUGAAUGCAGCACAGCGGUGCGGGUGUCCGGGGGUGAGCGGGAGGAGGCAGGCUGUGCCAUGCAUGUAACGUGGCUCUGUUCCACUGCUACAGGCAGAUGAGUCCAAGCAUAGAUUUGCCUCUUCUGAGGGUCUGAUUCCUUCCUCCCUGCACUGCUGAUGGGUCUUUGUUAUCCUUAACAAACCUGAAUUCUCCCAAGCCAGUAGUUCCUGUCCUGUAGAGGCACCCAGCUUCUCGUGGGACUGUCACAUUGGUUUAAUAAUUUCAUUUAACGUGUUUUUUCUCCGUAUCUUCUUGUUUUCUUAAUGCUGGAAUUGUUAUACUCAUCUGUGCCACUCUGAUAGUUAAAGCAGCUGAGACAUAAAAUCCUGGAUCCAGCCUUUUUAGUAGCCUACAGAAUACUCAUUUAUGUUAAAUCAACCAUAGGUUCUGUCUUACGUGUUUCUUAGGAGACCAUGCAAGCUGUACAAAAACACACGUGUCCGUACUACAGGCAGUGUGGUUUGAGUGUAUUUUAGCACCCUGGUGGUAGAUUCUUGAGCCUGUCAGAGGUCUGCUUCCCUCAUGCAGAUGGUACUUUCUCAUUCGUUUCAUAUUAGCUACUUAUUCAUUCUGAUGAAACUCAGUCCAGCCCAUAAGGCUAUCGAGAAACCCGUCCACCACCAGAGCUAAGUUGCAGUUAAACAGUGCAUAGCUUUCUUGCUGCCUCCCCUCUUGCACAGCGCUUCUUAUCCUCAGCUAACAGAGACAUUCAUUUAGGUAUGAGUUCAUCAGGGGAAGUUUAUAUCUGCAACUAAAUUUGGUAAUUCAGACCAGCCUGCUCUGUCUCUCCUAAAACAUCAGAGCUAUAUAUAAGCAGUUUGUCCAACAAUUCCAGCGCGGUUUGCAGAGAUCCCAGCUAAUUUGUACGAAGCACCAUUGUCACAGAAAAUCACAUGCCUUUUGGAUUGGAUUGAUCAGAAGCCUUUUGUGUUAUGUCUUAGAAAACAGGCCAUGCUGUCCGAGCAAUAGGAAGACUGUCAUCCAUGGCAAUGAUUUCUGGUAUGAGUGGGAGGAAGGCCUCUGGGAGCUCGCCUACCAGCCCGAUAAAUGCAGACAAAGUAGAGAACGAAGAUGCCUUCCUUGAAGAAGUGGCUGAGGAAAAGCCCCAUGUAAAGCCAUACUUUACUAAAACAAUCCUUGACAUGGAGGUUGUGGAAGGAAGUGCUGCUAGGUUUGACUGCAAAAUCGAAGGUACAUUGGAUAAGCAUCAUCUCUUUCUUUCCUUCCUUCCCCGCCACCUUUCUGCAUUGUGCUGUAACGUAGCUCUUUUUUUUUUUUUAAUUGUUGUGUUGGUAUCAUUUUUCUUUACCAAUAUCUGCAUGUCACAGCAUGGAUGUGUUGCAGUAACAGAACUUUGGAGGAGCAUGGGCUUGUCCUGUGCUUGCCAUAGAGCAGCAGCCUCCUAGAGUCACUGUGUGAGUCACUAAUUCAGAGUACCGAGAGGAACAGCAUGAUGAUUUUUGAGGGUGGAAACAAUAAAAACAAGAUGCGGUGUAAUACCACGGGUUGCAAGAGUACACUCAUAAAGACUGCAAAGACUGCUUACCAGAAACUAAGAACAAAAAGGUGUCAUUGUCUGAAAUGACAGACGGGUCUCAGGUGCCCUCAAGAUGACUUUAAAUCGUGCAUGCAUUCUGGUAAAGGUAAAGAAAUCCCUAACUACAUUUGCAGAAGUAGUAAUGAUGAUAUCACUGUGCUGGUUGCAAAAGUCACGUCUAAAAAUACCGUGUGAUUUU